CUGACUUGGAAAAGCCCACGCUCCCACUCCGACAAGAAGCGGCGGUGGAUCGGGGGGCACCUGCCCCCUCCCGGAGCUGCAACCCAAGAGCAUUUCCAAGAGGCCGGGGCACGAGGAGCAAGCUCGCCCUCCUACACAUCUGAAGAUGCGCUAAUUGAUACUGAAAUCGAGUUUCUAGAAAUAAUUACAGCCUGUGCCAGACAGAACACUUAACAAGACAGGGACGUUUUAAAAGGGAAGACAUCCGAUGCAUCAAGAGGACUUAACAGCAGCGGAGACGGGAUCUUUGCAGCUGUGAUUUGAAGUUAAGUGUCUCCAGAUGAGAUCAUGCUGAUUAUCCAGGUGGGCGCUAAACCCAGUGACAAGGGUCCUUAUAAGAGAAGCCCGGGGAGUGCAGCACGCGGAGAAAAUAGAACAUCAUGUGAACACAAAGGCAGAGGCAGAACCAGAAGCUGGAAGAGGCAGGAAGGAUCCUCCCCUGGAGCCUUUGGGGGCAGCGCGGUCCUGCUGACACCCUCAUAUGAAAGGCCUUCUGUCCUCCACACUACGACAAAAUAAACCUGAAUCGUUUUAAGCCCCCAGUUCGGGGCCACGUCUGUGAUACGUAUGAGGAAUGGCCGCUCCCGAGACCAUUUCUGUCCACAGCCGGGCUCCACGUCCCCGUGGCCAGAAGACUCACCACAGUGCUCUCAGGUGGUCAUCCCAAGGCUGGAGAGAGCCCCAUCGAGCAGAGAGAGUCGAUACUCGGGCUACUGAUCCCUCACUGUUAUCCUGGUAACAGAGCAUCUCACUGACACCUCCACUAGCCUCAGAAAUGGUGGAGGUCUGAACGGGAGGUUUGUAAGGGAAGCUGGUCCUUUGGAGACUACAAAUGGGGGAAAAUGAGGA